rnacentral:tRNA from 1 species
GCCGUGAUCGUAUAGUGAGUGGUUAGUACCUUGCGUUGUGGCUGCAAUAACCCAGGUUCGAAUUCUGGUCGCGCCA